AACGAACGCUGGCGGCAUGCCUAACACAUGCAAGUCGAACGAGACCUUCGGGUCUAGUGGCGCACGGGUGCGUAACGCGUGGGAACCUGCCCUUAGGUUCGGAAUAACUCCCCGAAAGGGGUGCUAAUACCGGAUAAUGUCUUCGGACCAAAGAUUUAUCGCCUUUGGAUGGGCCCGCGUUGGAUUAGCUAGUUGGUAGGGUAAAAGCCUACCAAGGCGACGAUCCAUAGCUGGUCUGAGAGGAUGCUCAGCCACACUUGGACUGAGACACGGCCCAGACUCCGACGGGAGGCAGCAGUGGGGUAUAUUGGACGAUGAGCGAAAGCCUGAUCCAGCAAUGCCGCGUGAGUGAUCAAGGCCUUAGGGUUGUAAAGCUCUUUUACCCGGGAUGAUAAUGACAGUACCGGGAGAAUAAGCUCCGGCUAACUCCGUG
rnacentral:rRNA from 1 species